GGACCUUCGGGCCUCUCGCGUCAGGAUAUGCCUAGGUGGGAUUAGCUAGUUGGUGAGGUAAGGGCUCACCAAGGCGACGAUCCCUAGCUGGUCUGAGAGGAUGAUCAGCCACACUGGAACUGAGACACGGUCCAGACUCCUACGGGAGGCAGCAGUGGGGAAUAUUGCACAAUGGGCGCAAGCCUGAUGCAGCCAUGCCGCGUGUGUGAAGAAGGCCUUCGGGUUGUAAAGCACUUUCAGUCGUGAGGAAGGUAGUGUAGUUAAUAGCUGCAUUAUUUGACGUUAGCGACAGAAGAAGCACCGGCUAACUCCGUGCCAGCAGCCGCGGUAAUACGGAGGGUGCGAGCGUUAAUCGGAAUUACUGGGCGUAAAGCGCAUGCAGGUGGUUUGUUAAGUCAGAUGUGAAAGCCCGGGGCUCAACCUCGGAAUUGCAUUUGAAACUGGCAGACUAGAGUACUGUAGAGGGGGGUAGAAUUUCAGGUGUAGCGGUGAAAUGCGUAGAGAUCUGAAGGAAUACCGGUGGCGAAGGCGGCCCCCUGGACAGAUACUGACACUCAGAUGCGAAAGCGUGGGGAGCAAACAGGAUUAGAUACCCUGGUAGUCCACGCCGUAAACGAUGUCUACUUGGAGGUUGUGGCCUUGAGCCGUGGCUUUCGGAGCUAACGCGUUAAGUAGACCGCCUGGGGAGUACGGUCGCAAGAUUAAAACUCAAAUGAAUUGACGGGGGCCCGCACAAGCGGUGGAGCAUGUGGUUUAAUUCGAUGCAACGCGAAGAACCUUACCUACUCUUGACAUCCAGAGAACUUUCCAGAGAUGGAUUGGUGCCUUCGGGAACUCUGAGACAGGUGCUGCAUGGCUGUCGUCAGCUCGUGUUGUGAAAUGUUGGGUUAAGUCCCGCAACGAGCGCAACCCUUAUCCUUGUUUGCCAGCGAGUAAUGUCGGGAACUCCAGGGAGACUGCCGGUGAUAAACCGGAGGAAGGUGGGGACGACGUCAAGUCAUCAUGGCCCUUACGAGUAGGGCUACACACGUGCUACAAUGGCGCAUACAGAGGGCGGCCAACUUGCGAAAGUGAGCGAAUCCCAAAAAGUGCGUCGUAGUCCGGAUUGGAGUCUGCAACUCGACUCCAUGAAGUCGGAAUCGCUAGUAAUCGUGGAUCAGAAUGCCACGGUGAAUACGUUCCCGGGCCUUGUACACACCGCCCGUCACACCAUGGGAGUGGGCUGCAA
rnacentral:rRNA from 1 species